UACGUAGGUGGCAAGCGUUGUCCGGAAUUAUUGGGCGUAAAGCGCGCGCAGGCGGUCCCUUAAGUCUGAUGUGAAAUCCCACGGCUCAACCGUGGAAGGUCAUUGGAAACUGGGGGACUUGAGUACAGAAGAAGAAAGCGGAAUUCCAAGUGUAGCGGUGAAAUGCGUAGAGAUUUGGAGGAACACCAGUGGCGAAGGCGGCUUUCUGGUCUGUAACUGACGCUGAGGCGCGAAAGCGUGGGGAGCAAACAGG
rnacentral:rRNA from 1 species